GAGAUACCCCAUAUGGUCUUAGA
rnacentral:snRNA from 1 species